UACGUAGGGAGCAAGCGUUGUCCGGAAUCAUUGGGCGUAAAGAGCGCGUAGGCGGUCCGGUAAGUCGGUUGUGAAACUGGGGGCUCAACCCUCAGAGGCCGACCGAUACUGCCGGGCUAGAGUCCGGAAGAGGCGAGUGGAAUUCCUGGUGUAGCGGUGAAAUGCGCAGAUAUCAGGAGGAACACCAUGGCGAAGGCAGCUCGCUGGGACGGUACUGACGCUGAGGCGCGAAAGCGUGGGAGCAACGG
rnacentral:rRNA from 1 species